rnacentral:rRNA from 1 species
GAUGAACGCUGGCGGCGUGCCUAAUACAUGCAAGUCGAACGCUUCACUUCGGUUAAGAGUUGCGUACGGGUGAGUAAUACUUAAUUAACCUUGCAUCUACAGGGGGAUAACUGAUGGAAACGUCAGCUAAGACCGCAUAGGUGUAGAGAUCGCAUGAACUCUAUAUGAAAAGUGCUACGGGACUGGUAGAUGAUGGACUUAUGGCGCAUUAGCUUGUUGGUGGGGUAACGGCCUAACAAGGCGACGAUGCGUAACCGGCCUGAGAGGAUGAGCGGCCACAAGGGAAAUGAGACACGGUCCAGAAUCAUACGGGAGGCAGCAGGGGGGAAUAUAGGAAAAUGAGCGAAAGACUGAGCCAGGCAUGACGCGGGUGGGAAGAAGGUAGGAGGAUGGGAAAGAACUUGAAGGGGGGAGGAAGGGAAGUAAGUUAAUAACUGGAUGUGUUGACGUUACCAAAAGAAGAAGCACAGGCUAACUUAGUG